rnacentral:lncRNA from 1 species
CCCAGCCUCCCCACCCGCUGGCUUUCCUGUCUUCAGCCUCCUCGUUCUUUUCCCGAAAAGCCCCACCUCCAGCAAGGCCAGGGCAGGCUGAGUGGGGCCCUUUCUCCAGGAGGGUGCUGUUUCUGCGUGUCCUCUAGAUGGGGAGUGUCUACCUCUGUGCCCUUUCUGCAUCGGAGCUGCAACACGGGUUGAAAAGUUCGUUUGGUGGCCUAGAAAUUUAUUGAUUCUGGUUUUGUGUCAUAUGCUUAUCAGUUCUAACAGGCUUUAUUUGGGUGGAAUCUUUAAGUUCUUCUAAAUAUA